AACGCUAGCUACAGGCUUAACACAUGCAAGUCGAGGGGCAGCAUGGUCUUAGCUUGCUAAGGCCGAUGGCGACCGGCGCACGGGUGAGUAACACGUAUCCAACCUGCCGUCUACUCUUGGACAGCCUUCUGAAAGGAAGAUUAAUACAAGAUGGCAUCAUGAGUCCGCAUGUUCACAUGAUUAAAGGUAUUCCGGUAGACGAUGGGGAUGCGUUCCAUUAGAUAGUAGGCGGGGUAACGGCCCACCUAGUCUUCGAUGGAUAGGGGUUCUGAGAGGAAGGUCCCCCACAUUGGAACUGAGACACGGUCCAAACUCCUACGGGAGGCAGCAGUGAGGAAUAUUGGUCAAUGGGCGAGAGCCUGAACCAGCCAAGUAGCGUGAAGGAUGACUGCCCUAUGGGUUGUAAACUUCUUUUAUAAAGGAAUAAAGUCGGGUAUGCAUACCCGUUUGCAUGUACUUUAUGAAUAAGGAUCGGCUAACUCCGUGCCAGCAGCCGCGGUAAUACGGAGGAUCCGAGCGUUAUCCGGAUUUAUUGGGUUUAAAGGGAGCGUAGAUGGAUGUUUAAGUCAGUUGUGAAAGUUUGCGGCUCAACCGUAAAAUUGCAGUUGAUACUGGAUAUCUUGAGUGCAGUUGAGGCAGGCGGAAUUCGUGGUGUAGCGGUGAAAUGCUUAGAUAUCACGAAGAACUCCGAUUGCGAAGGCAGCCUGCUAAGCUGCAACUGACAUUGAGGCUCGAAAGUGUGGGUAUCAAACAGGAUUAGAUACCCUGGUAGUCCACACGGUAAACGAUGAAUACUCGCUGUUUGCGAUAUACAGCAAGCGGCCAAGCGAAAGCGUUAAGUAUUCCACCUGGGGAGUACGCCGGCAACGGUGAAACUCAAAGGAAUUGACGGGGGCCCGCACAAGCGGAGGAACAUGUGGUUUAAUUCGAUGAUACGCGAGGAACCUUACCCGGGCUUAAAUUGCAGAUGAAUUACGGUGAAAGCCGUAAGCCGCAAGGCAUCUGUGAAGGUGCUGCAUGGUUGUCGUCAGCUCGUGCCGUGAGGUGUCGGCUUAAGUGCCAUAACGAGCGCAACCCUUGUUGUCAGUUACUAACAGGUUCCGCUGAGGACUCUGACAAGACUGCCAUCGUAAGAUGUGAGGAAGGUGGGGAUGACGUCAAAUCAGCACGGCCCUUACGUCCGGGGCUACACACGUGUUACAAUGGGGGGGUACAGAGGGCCGCUACCACGCGAGUGGAUGCCAAUCCCAAAAACCUCUCUCAGUUCGGACUGGAGUCUGCAACCCGACUCCACGAAGCUGGAUUCGCUAGUAAUCGCGCAUCAGCCGCGGCGCGGUGAAUACGUUCCCGGGCCUUGUACACACCGCCCGUCAAGCCAUGGGAGCCGGGGGUACCUGAAGUGCGUAACCGCGAGGAGCGCCCUAGGGUAAAACUGGUGACUGGGGC
rnacentral:rRNA from 1 species